AGCAGCCGCGGUAAUUCCAGCUCCAAUAGCGUAUAUUAAAAUUGUUGCAGUUAAAAAGCUCGUAGUUGAAUUUCUGCUGCAUUGCUUGUGUCCCUCUGGGGUCUGCGCAUGUGGCUUUUUUCGGACGGAGUUUCUUUGUCUGAAUGUUUACUUUGAGAAAAUUAGAGUGCUCAAAGCGGGCUUUCGCCUUGAAUAGUUUAGCAUGGAAUAAUAAAGUAGGACUUUGGUUCUAUUUUGUUGGUUUUAGGUACCAAAGUAAUGGUUAAUAGGAACAGUUGGGGGCAUUCGUAUUUAACUGUCAGAGGUGAAAUUCUUA
rnacentral:rRNA from 1 species